AAAGAUUCUAGUAAUGGGUUUUGGGUGAUUUUGUGUAUGCUGUAGGUUGUUGAUGCUGUAAGAUGCUUAUUGUCAAGACCAGGUGGAAAUGGUAAUCGACAAAAUCCUUCAUCAGGUCUACAUGGUGGGAGGGUUUGUUAUUGUCUCUUAAACUGGAGGGGGGUUGCUCAUAUAUGGAGGCUUCAAGACUUUCUUUGGAGGAAAGAAAGACAAAAAGAUGUAAUUCUUUACACUGAUGAUUGCAAGUCUAUGAUCUAUAUUUCUGAAUAGGUUAUACUCUGACGUUGGAUAUUAAAAAUACAGCCUCUCUGAUUGUAAGGAGCAGAUUUAGUUCAUCACU